rnacentral:rRNA from 1 species
AGAGUUUGAUCCUGGCUCAGGAUGAACGCUGGCGGCGUGCCUAAUACAUGCAAGUCGAACGAGGGGUCUUGUCGUAAGAUGAGACAUUCCGAGUGGCGAACGGGUGAGUAACACGUAGACGAUCUGCCCUGAAGAGGGGGAUAACGUUCCGAAAGGGAUGCUAAUACCCCAUAAGCUCACGGGAAUUAGAAAGCUGUGAGAAAAGGGAGCAAUUCGCUUCAGGAGGGGUCUGCGGUCCAUCAGGUAGUUGGCGGGGUAACGGCCCACCAAGCCGAAGACGGAUAGGGGGCCUGAGAGGGUGGUCCCCCACACGGGCACUGAGAGACGGGCCCGACUCCUACGGGAGGCAGCAGUAAGGGAUAUUGCGCAAUGGGCGAAAGCCUGACGCAGCUACGCCGCGUGCCCGAUGAAGGCCUUCGGGUCGUAAAGGGCUUUUCUGGCUGAAGAGGAAGGACGGUAAGCCAGGAAAAAGUGUCGGCUAACUACGUGCCAGCAGCCGCGGUAAAACGUAGGACGCGAGCGUUAUCCGGAGUUACUGGGCGUAAAGGGCGGGCAGGCGGCCUGGCAAGAUGGGUGUGAAAUCUCCCGGCUCAACCGGGAGGGGCCACUCGUGACUGCGAGGCUAGAGGGCGACAGAGGAGCGUGGAAUUCCGGGUGGAGUGGUGAAAUGCGUAGAGAUCCGGAGGAACACCAGAGGCGAAGGCGGCGCUCUGGGUCGCGCCUGACGCUGAACCGCGAAAGCCAGGGUAGCGAACGGGAUUAGAAACCCCGGUAGUCCUGGCCGUAAACGAUGUCCACUGGGCGUGGGUAUGGAAGCAUAUCCGGGCCGGAGCGAACGCGCUAAGUGGACCGCCUGGGGAGUACGACCGCAAGGUUAAAACUCAAAGGAAUUGACGGGGGCCCGCACAAGCAGCGGAGCGUGUGGUUUAAUUCGAUUCAACGCGAAGAACCUUACCCGGGUUUGACAUUCAAGUGGUAGCGAGCGGAAACGUGAGCGACCCGCAAGGGAGCUUGAACAGGUGCUGCAUGGCUGUCGUCAGCUCGUGCCGUGAGGUGUUAGGUUAAGUCCUGUAACGAGCGCAACCCCUGCUGCCAGUUACAAGUGUCUGGCGGGACUGCCGGCGUGAAGCUGGAGGAAGGUGGGGAUGACGUCAAGUCAGCAUGGCCUUUAUGUCCGGGGCGACACACACGCUACAAUGGCCGGCACAAAGGGACGCCAAGCCGCGAGGCGGAGCGAAUCUCACAAAGCCGGUCUUAGUUCGGAUUGCAGGCUGCAACUCGCCUGCAUGAAGCUGGAGUUGCUAGUAACUGCCGGUCAGCCACACGGCGGUGAAUACGUUCCCGGGCCUUGUACACACCGCCCGUCACGUCAUGGGAGCUGGCAACACCUGAAGUCGGUGCGCUAACUGCAAAGAAGCAGCCGCCGAAGGUGGGGCUGGUGGCUGGGACGAAGUCGUAACAAGGUA